UACGUAGGAGGCGAGCGUUUGUCCGGAUUUAUUGGGCGUAAAGAGCGUGUAGGCGGCCAUGUAGGUCCGGUGUGAAAACUCGAGGCUUAACCUCGAGCUGUCGGCGGAAACCAUCUGGCUAGAGUCCGGAAGAGGAGAAUGGAAUUCCCGGUGUAGCGGUGAAAUGCGCAGAUAUCGGGAAGAACACCCGUGGCGAAGGCGGUUCUCUGGGACGGUACUGACGCUGAGACGCGAAAGCGUGGGGAGCGAACAGG
rnacentral:rRNA from 1 species